GAUAUCCCAGAUGUGCUGAUAACCUGUUAAAGAGCUGUUUGCAUUGACUGGGUUACUGCUUAUCCUGAUAGUACUCCCUCAGUCCUAUUUAUUUCAUCAUUUGAAUGGUUGUUCUGCUAUAGUAAAUUUGGGGGAAGGAUUUUGGAGGAAUUUUAAUUCUUACGGUGUAAGUGACACACUCGUCAGUCUCAGGAAAAAUCAAAACGUCUGUAGACUGAGGCUACCAAAUACUUCAUUUAGCUUGUGGCAGAAAUACUUCUUUUCCAAUUGAGCACAUAGGUACUGUUUUGUUCUCAUAGAAUGAUAUGUACAGUUCUGAGCUGCUCUUUAAGCUGUUGUUCCUAAUCAGAAGUUCAUGUGAUGUUCUUGCCAUCACCUCUCAUCUCUUAACAAUGUCCUUAGAGAAAGUCCUGUCUAACUAGAGGGAGCAACCUCCAAAACAUCAUUAAACUUACUCCCUUUUCUCAGCAGAGCUAUUACAAGCCUGCUUUUUGUCAGCAGUUCUCCAAGACUUCUUGAAGAAUUUGUGGACCAGCUCAUCUAUGCUGUCAUACUCUCAUAUGGGAAGAGCCACAUGGUUUAUGUUGCUUCACAUGCAGUCAGUCAUGUUAUAGGUGAGCUAAACAGACUGGUUCAGAAAUUAAAGUGUGAGCUUAUGCUGAGGACUUCAGCACAAGUCUGAUUUUCCCUUUAACAAAACAUUUGCUGUUAUUCUCCCAUCCUGAAUGUGUAAGCCAUAUUUUCCUAGUAACUUUCAGAACAGCAAGUUAGCACCUCUGGAAGUAGGAGGCCUCUUCCUAAUCCAUUUAUUUGUGUUUAGGAUCAAUAAUACACCCAUGAGUCCUGUUUGGCAGCAUUAUGUAAUGUGCUGUAGGAUCUUUGCUGUUACACCACCCAGCCAGAAAUGAAGGUGGUAUUUAGAUUCUUCAAUGAAGCAAGAGCUCAGUAUCUGGCACAGAGCUAAGAAUUCAGCCCUUUAUCUUGGUAUUUCCUAAGGCAGUGUAGUCUAAAAAUAGGAGUGAAUACAAGUUAUAGUUCAGUCAGACAUCAGCCACUUGAAUCAUUAAAAUGUUAAAAAGUUAAAAUGCAAUGAUCUGUUCAGGUUUGAAAAUCAGAAGCCCUUAGACCUUAAAUUCUGGUAUCCAUUUCCCUUGUAUCCAUUUGCCUCAUAUCCAUUUCCCUAGUAAAUCUAUCCAGAAUAUUGCAUAAAUCAGAUUGUAUUGGUGAGGAUAAAUGAAUUAUUUUAUAAUACAGCAAUCAGUUCAGAAAAGUCUAAGUAACAGCUGUGCUAGAAUGAAGAAUACUUUGCCGUAAUACCUUUUCAUCACUGAAAUUCUUCAUCUCACAUCUUCCCAAAUUUAUAUUUUUGAAUAUAUGUCUAGUAACUGGAACUCAGACAAGAACUAUCAGGAUAUCUGACAAGGUGCUGCUGUAUUAAAAAUCAUCAUGUAUGUGGGAGGGAACUAUGUAACUUUUUUAUGUUACUUUUUUUUUUACAUACUUCCACUUUUUGCACAGAGAUGCUCCUUGUUAAUUUGAAAGGCAGCCACAAUACAUGAUUUUUCUUAAAUAAGUGUUCCUUUGUGUUUGUGAAUAACAAAGUUCUGAUAAUCAGUAUGUUUUUGGCAGAUUACACAACUGCAUGAUCACUAAUAUGGACAUACUCAGAACAGCAGAAUAUAGGGUAGGGUAAUUUGGUAUUGCCAAACCAGAAGUUCAAAAAUCAUUAGUCAGAUCUCCUAAAAUUAUAAACCUAGUUUAAAAUUACAAGCUUAAAAAACACACAUGGCUUUAUUUACCUUCUGGCUUUUUAGUUUUUAGCAUAUGGUCAGAUUACACUUUUUGGAUUUUCCAUGUAAUCUGCAGAGCUAAUUUAAAAAAAAAAAAUUAAAAUAGCUGAUUACACUAUCUCACAACAAAAACUAAGCUGCUUCAGGUUGAUUAGACUCAAUAAAAUCAUGGAAGUUGUCAGCACUGAUUAAACUAAUGCUUGAUGUUUCAAGAAAAAUUAUUUUAUAAUUAAGUGGUUUUAAAACACAUUCAUUUACAUAGACUUCUGACAGUUGCGGAGGCAUGAUUAAAAGCUGGGGUUAGUAUCACUAGUGCUAACCAGAUGAACUAGUGUGCUGUGCAUUUUAGGCAGUUCUUUACUUUCCUAGAACUGCAGCCUCCUCUUCUUGCAGUCAGUGCCUGCUCUACUGACAGUAAUAAAAAAGGGACUUUAAAGCAGAUAGUUUGCAAGUAAUAAUAGAAUCAGAUCAGAAAAGGACCUUGGUAAAUCAUUUAGACUCAUUUUGUGUCUAACUAAAAUCUCCUUUCUUGCAAUUUAAGGUAAUUUUUUUUUUUCCUCAGUUGUGGGCAUGAGAAAAAGUGAUUUUAUUCUUUUAUAUAUAUGAAAAAACAUGUUUCCCUUUUAUCAUCUUUUCCGUAAAAUGACCUAAAAUCAUUCAAUCUGUGCUCAAAAGUUUUCUCAGCUUCUAGACAUUCUCAUUGCUUUCUUCUGGAUUCUCUGCAUGCAACUUGUAUCUUACUCUUCAAGUGCAUGAUCAAAACUGGAGAUGUUACUAGCUCAUGUCUUAGAAGUUCUGAAGGGGCAGAUUAUACUCCAGUUUAGACAUUUAGGUUCUACCCUUAUUUGCAACAGCAUGAUGCUCCAGACUAAUUUGCAGGAUUUGCAAAAUAACACAUUUAUUCUUUUCAAUGGAAAUUGAAAGUGUAGAUUUAGAUGAGAUCUUGGGAAUUUCUUUACUGUGAGGGUGGUGAGACAUUGGAAGAGGUUGCCCAGAGAAGCUGUGGCUGCCCCAACCCUGUAAGUGUUCAAGGCCAGGUUGGACAGGGCUUGGAGCAACCUGGUGGAAGGUGUCCUUGCCCAUGGCAGGCAGGUUGGAACUGGAUGAUCUUUAAGGUCCCUUCCAACCCAAACCAUUGUAUGCUUCUAUGAAAUUAAGCAAUUGUUCCUUUACUUUCACAGCUAAUGAUUCCAUCUUGCACUUGUUCCUAGUUCCUAUUAAGUAACAUCUUAUGUUUUCAGAUCACAUUUGCACCUUGCCAGGAUUAUUCUGAAUUCUGAUCUUACCUUCUAGUAUACUUGGAAGUCGAAUUCUGCUUAGUCUUGUUUGGAGAUACUAAAAGGACGCUCUGCAUGGUCCAGGGGCAGGUGAAUGGGAAAAACGCAGGAGCAGAUGAAACAGCUGGUAACUGGAACAUCACCUUGUUGUCAGGACUGUUAUUAACUCCGGUAUCAGAUGGAAUUAAAUGAAAAUAAUAAGCAGAUUUGUAAGAACAUUUUAUUAGAGAUACUGUAUCAAAGCACAGAAUAAGCUUUAAAGAUGAUGAAAACUAACCUGGAAUGUCUUCAGCGUUACUCAACAUAGACUACAAAUAAUUGCUACGUUACAGAACAGUCACAGCCUGUUCUAGAUGUCCUACGCUUAGUAUACUGUUAAAGGCCUGUCUUUAGGUGAUGCUAUAAACAUAAUGCCCUUUUCUCCUCUGCUUCAUGGUGGUCUUACUGUAAAGGUCCUUCCUGUUCUCUAUGGCAAGGACACCCCAUUUUCUAACAGAGUUGCCAGCUACAUUGUGCCUUCUCCCUGCAGAAUCCCCAGUGGGAUCUGGCUUUGCCCAUAUAGUCACCAUCUUCCCCUUUGCUCCAUCACAGCCACUGGGAAGAAGCAUCAGCAUUCCAGUAUUGUACUGAAGGCUUUUAAAAUGCCUACGUUAAUGUUCAAGGUGUUACGCGUUAAUAGAGCCGAUACUUUCAACAUCUAUGUACUGAAAUGUUUAGGGCUCUGUAAUUAGAUGAAGCAACCACAUUCAAAAAUAUCUGAACAUCUUUUCUUGCAUUUGUAUAGCAACUUUAUAAACUCAAAAAGGGUAAAGCAAGCACAGACACAUGCCCUAUACAAGCUGCAAUACAGACAGUAUUUUACACACUUCAUAACAACAGUAAUGAAAAUUAUGCCAAUUAUAUAUAAAAUUAUAGACAGACUUCUUGAGAUAACAGUUAUACUGAACAAUGAAACAUCCUUUUAUAGUCAUGAGUAGAAUUAGUAAGAUGCGUAACUAUAGCAGAAUAUAGAUCAGCAUGUUUAGUCUGCUUACAUGUCUCAAUCUGACCCAUUGCUGUCUGGGGGAAACAAAAGAAAUUAAUAUUCUUUUAAAUCCAUGCUGGCCCUAAAUUGAAACAUUUACUGCCUUAUUUUUUUGGUUGGGGCUUCCCCCUUCCCCCCCCCCCCCCCCAUUAAUUUAGCUGUAAACAUUAUAAAAAAUGCAUAAAAAUGCAUUAAAAAUGUUUAAAUCUGAACAUGAAUGCCUGAUUCUCCUCUUCAAGACAGGUUUUGCAAGGCUUAGAUCUAGAACAAGGUGCACCCUGUGCCCUGUGAAGAUUAUUUCACAUUUACUCAUCUCCUUGUUGGUAAAAAAAUUUCACCAUUCUUGUAAUAAGACCAGAGCACCAUUUCUUUACUAUCCACAUACAAGCACUGUGCUUCAUGGAAGGUCCGCUUCAGCUUGCAAAUGAUGAUCAUGGCAGCAGGGGAAUCAGGUCAGCUGGAUCUUUCUCACCAUCCUGUCCUUCCUCUGCUUUUAAGAUUUUUCUUUUUCACCUCAUACUUUUUUUUCUUUUUUAACACUUGGCAAGUUUAGCAUUGUACAUAAGUAUAUACUUCUAAUGUUUGAACUAAAAAAAUCUAAGCAGUUUUUGACAGAAGUUCUAAGAAGCCUUAUUUCAGAAAAGGAGCACUCCAGCACAUGAAUAGCAAAUUCUGCAAACUCAUUUCAGUGCAGCCCUUAACACCUGGCAUCUGCCUCUUUUGGCUGGCUGCUCCAUGAAAGGAGUCUUCAAAUCUGUUUUUAACAGGUGUAAAUAAUAGUCACAAGGAGGUAAGUUUUAUCAUACAGAGAGGAGUCCAACAGAACUUUUACUGCAAGUUCUAAUUUGACUGUUUUGGUGCCUUUUGCGACUGCUGCAGUAUGUCAAAAAAAGGAAAGGUGGUGCCAAUUCAGAUCUGGCACACGCAGUUCUGAGUUUUUAUGAAAUCUUUUGACGACCAGUUCUUCCUCAUGUCUUCUCCAAACCUGGUCCUCUCAGUUGUUCAGAAGCUUAGAAGUCCCUAUUUCACUACUGCCAUGCAGAAAAGAAAUGCAAGAAAAAUAUUAAAAGUCAGAAGCCCACACUCCAGUACUGUAUUUGCUAGCAUGAUGUGGUCCCUCCCACCUCACUAUGGUGUGGUUUUGCUCCAAAUACCCAUCCUUAAGUUCUAUUCAGAGCACCUACCACAAUCAGAACUCUGUUUAAAAGCCAUACAGUUCAUUUCCUUCAACCCCUACCCUAACAAAAUGUAAUUUAACCUUCAAACAUAUUUUGACCUUGUUUCAGAAGCUUCUGUUUGUUCUUUUCUCCUUUGCCUUCCAUUUGCAAAACAGCUAAAGAUUUACUGAAGAAAAACUUCUCUUUACUUUCCAGCAGUGGUUUAUGAUUUAGCUUAGUGGAUGCUCAAAACAUUGCAUGACUGUUACUUCUCCUCAGCCUGGAUUUGUCAUAGCUUAGAACCCCCCUUACUCUAGAAUACUUAUUACUUCUUCAUAUUUGCCUCUGGGUUUGGGGUUGUGGGUUUUGGUUUGUUGGUUGUUUUUUUUUUGUUAAAUGCAGAUAAAUGAUAUAAACAUCUACAAUUCCCAUAAGUCUCUUUUGACCAAACUAAUUUAUAACAAAUAUGAGCAGCUCUGUAUCUGACACAAACAGUCAAGAAAUUGGAAACAUGUGGAUGUAACUUUUAAAGACAAUCCCCGGGUUUUUUUUUUGUUGGUGCACCAACUGCUCUCUCUGGAUACGUAAAUCAUGUUGUACAAAUACACAACUGUCCUGCUUCUGGCUAAUUUACACUUGCUGUGUCUGUGUGCACCAUGGCAGCCUGGACCAAGUAGCUGUGUCUACACUGCAGAGGAGGAAAAGCUUCAAAGCUGCACAUAAGCCAGGUUUAUCAGCUGUCUGCAUUACUUACCUGUUAGAGCAUCCUAAAGGCCAGCUCAGGGCUAAAUUUGCUGGCACACCUUUGAGAGGAAAGCCUUGGGAGUGGUGCACCACACUUCAGCGUGCAUUAUAACAUACCCUGUGUGACAUGUGUCCAGGCCCUCACAGCAUAUGCUAGGUCCACAACUGACUGUAUAUUUUAUUUGCUCUCUGUAUCAUGUCACGUACUUCAUGGUAGGCAAAAAAGCAACCUGGGACAAAUUACUUUUGUUUCAUGACAGGAGGGUGAUGUGAACAUGCAGGUCUUGGGCAAACUGCUAGCUUCAAAGUACUGCUGGUUCUGGCAGCAAGUACAUGUGUCUACCUAUUACUUUCUUCAAAUCUCUGAGGGGAAUUCAUUGGACUGAUGCUGUUAUCUCAAAGUAGCUUUUACCUGACUAGCUCAAAGGUCAAGAAAUGCCUUUUUUUUUUGUUUGUAAACUAACAAAGGAGGAAAAAAAAAAAAGGUAUUUAACUACAGUAUGCAUGUGAACAUUACUUUUCCCCAGGCAACAUCAGUGUUUAACACUGCUGUUUAUCAAGAUGCCGGCCUGCAUUUUACAGUCAAAGAUCUCUGUCAUUUGCAGAUCAUACAUAGCUCAUGCAGUGUGACUGAGCUUCUUGACACCACCAUCCUCAAAUACACCAACUACGCUGUGUGGGACCACCUCUGAAUGUGGGAAGCGCAUUUAUUAGAAGUCUUACAAUUCAGACAGCUGAAAAAAAAAAUACAAAAAGAACACCCCACAGCUAACAAGAUCUCCCAGGUUCCAUUUAAGAGAAGCACCUGCUGGGUUCUUCCUUACCCUGCUUUCUGCAAUGUAAAGGGUAUCAAGAGGCAAAGAUAAGCACAGUUCCAAAAUCUGAAGAAUUAAAUACUUCAAGCUUAGUAAACAAGAGCAGUAGCAUUUAAAGCCUGUUCUCUAAUGAUCUAAACAGCUCCGAUGGCCCAGUCAUACCAUACAGGCUUUUUACUGAACAGUCUAUAGUUCAUCCAGGAUUUCAGUAACUUUGGCACAGCCCCAAUGACUGGGGAGAAAAGCAGAUCCAAAAUAAAAGAUUAUGGUGUGUGAAAUACACUGAAUUAAUGUAUAUGUGUUUUAAGGGACAUCUUUGUUUUGACUCUGGGUAACAAACCAACAUAGCCUGUGAGGUCUGGAAGGCCACAGACUAUUCCUGCUUUCACAGUAGUGCUCUGUUUGAAGCUAGUAUUUCUAUUUGGGGUCUAAGCCACACUGAACUUGAUCAAAUAAACAUUCUCCAAACAAAA